UCUGAACCUUCGGGGAACGAUAACGGCGUCGAGCGGCGGACGGGUGAGUAAUGCCUAGGAAAUUGCCCUGAUGUGGGGGAUAACCAUUGGAAACGAUGGCUAAUACCGCAUGAUGCCUACGGGCCAAAGAGGGGGACCUUCGGGCCUCUCGCGUCAGGAUAUGCCUAGGUGGGAUUAGCUAGUUGGUGAGGUAAGGGCUCACCAAGGCGACGAUCCCUAGCUGGUCUGAGAGGAUGAUCAGCCACACUGGAACUGAGACACGGUCCAGACUCCUACGGGAGGCAGCAGUGGGGAAUAUUGCACAAUGGGCGCAAGCCUGAUGCAGCCAUGCCGCGUGUGUGAAGAAGGCCUUCGGGUUGUAAAGCACUUUCAGUCGUGAGGAAGGUGGUGUAGUUAAUAGCUGCAUUAUUUGACGUUAGCGACAGAAGAAGCACCGGCUAACUCCGUGCCAGCAGCCGCGGUAAUACGGAGGGUGCGAGCGUUAAUCGGAAUUACUGGGCGUAAAGCGCAUGCAGGUGGUUUGUUAAGUCAGAUGUGAAAGCCCGGGGCUCAACCUCGGAAUAGCAUUUGAAACUGGCAGACUAGAGUACUGUAGAGGGGGGUAGAAUUUCAGGUGUAGCGGUGAAAUGCGUAGAGAUCUGAAGGAAUACCGGUGGCGA
rnacentral:rRNA from 1 species